rnacentral:rRNA from 1 species
CAGCCGCCGCGGUAACACGGAGGGUGCAAGCGUUAAUCGGAAUUACUGGGCGUAAAGCGCACGCAGGCGGUCUGACAAGUCAGAUGUGAAAUCCCCGGGCUUAACCUGGGAACUGCAUUUGAAACUGUCAGGCUGGAGUCUUGUAGAGGGGGGUGGAAUUCCAGGUGUAGCGGUGAAAUGCGUAGAGAUCUGGAGGAAUACCGGUGGCGAAGGCGGCCCCCUGGACAAAGACUGACGCUCAGGUGCGAAAGCGUGGGGAGCAAACAGGAUUAGAUACCCGCGUAGUCCCUGUCUCUUAUAA